rnacentral:rRNA from 1 species
UACGUAGGGGGCAAGCGUUGUCCGGAAUUAUUGGGCGUAAAGCGCGUGUAGGCGGUUCGAUAAGUCUGCUGUGAAAGCCGAGGGCUCAACCCUCGGAUGCCGGUGGAUACUGUCGGACUAGAGUACGGAAGAGGCGAGUGGAAUUCCUGGUGUAGCGGUGAAAUGCGCAGAUAUCAGGAGGAACACCAAUUGCGAAGGCAGCUCGCUGGGACGUUACUGACGCUGAGACGCGAAAGCGUGGGGAGCAAACAGG